GGGAGGACAGGAAGUAAAGACUCCCGGAGACCUCUGUGUGGGCAGGGGGCUUUCUACAAUAUUUGGUUCUUUCCUUGUUCUUAAAAUGCAGACUGAGGUAUGGACUUUUCCUCAGAAUGCUAAAAGCAAUAUACAGAUGGAGACAAACCACUAAAAGAUAAGCUGACGGUCACUGUUUCUACAAAAGGGCACCUAAAGGUCAUUCCUCUGCUCCCCCAGAAAACUCUCCCAACAAGAUUAAAAUUGCUGGAACAAACCCUGCAUCUGACCAGACGCCCCAAGGACAGAGUUUGUGGGAGCCAGAGCUCAACUAUUGGCUGAAGUGAAAACCACGCUGUUAUUGAUGUCGCUUGCCCUUGGAGUGCUCUCCCGGCUUUCCACUCCUCUGCCUGCCGAGCACACUUGACCUGUGGUAUGCAAAGGUCCCAACAGCACUGACCAGUCUCCCCCGAGCUGUCUCACUUGUCCGAAGUAUGUGGUGUGACAAGAUUAGAGGGGCAUGUGGAGGAGGACCCAGGGAGGAUGGAGAAGGACCAUGCCAGGUUGAAAGAAGUCUCAAAACCGAAUAACUCCAAAGGACAACUAUCAUGGCAGCCACCUUGCGCAAGGAUAACACUAUUUAGAGAAGACGUGUUUGAGAACCAGUGGAGUAGAAGAAAAUCUUGAACUACCAACUGAGGAGCAAAUGAGCCUGGUUAUCCAAGAGCAGGACCGAAGUGAAGAUCAAGGUGAGUUGUGGGUCCUUUUCUCUUCUGGAGGUUGGGCAUUUAUUCUUUCCUUUUUGCCAACCCUAAGAUGAUAUGCUUACCUUCUCCCAAGUUUCUUUACAUUUCUGAAUUUCUAGAUUACUUUUUUUGGUAGAAUUAAACCCAGAAUAACAGGAUUCCUUGGGGAUCU